UGCGGAAGAUACAUUGAAUUCAUUUACAUUGCAUUUGUAUCUUUACGGUGCAGAAAAUCUCGACCGUAGUGUUCAUCGAGGCUGAUCACACUUUCUAGAGGUCCAUUCGAUCGGGGAUGUGAGAUGAGAUAGUCAACUUAUCGAUGGAUGGAAUUUAUUCUAUUCGCGAAGGCAACCCGAACAAGUUCCAAUGAAAAAAAAAAUCAUAUACGUCAUAAGCUAAAACCACAAUAAAAGCUCAGAUCCACCCCGGAAGCACCAGAAAAAGAACACCAGCUUGUAUGGAGUAUCAAUAAGAAUAACACCUGACAUCCCAUCGCGCUUAAUUUGUUAAUCAGACGAAAUAGCAGCAAGAAUUGCAAUUAGCUUCGAAGCGGCCUGACCAGCAGUUUUAAUAAAAUAAUUCAUACCCUUCGAAAUUGCACCCGGGAACCUCGCAAGAGGUUGGCAGUGUUUAGUAUUUUUCUUGGACUUUAUUUUACUUCAUGCUGGCGUAAAUCGGUGACCUUAAAGAACGGUUUACGCUCUUGUAAGCGAAAAGGAGGUGGUGGAAAUCAAUCAACUCUAAGAACCUCGGUUGACGUCACACCACCGCACCCCGCGUUGAUCACAACACAAGGGGAAUGGGCGUGAGAUGAAAUGAAUGGCGAAACGGAAAAAAAAAACACACACACACACAUUGUGGCGCAGCUGAUAAAAACGUCCGCAUUCGAUGAAUCUACGAUCGAGAUCCUCCAUUGAAGUUUAUAAUCUCUAGCCUCCAGAAAGGCCAAUUAAACCGAAAAAGACCAACACACGUAGUGUAUCAUUUCAUCGAACCUCUUCCCUGGAUUUGAUGGUGCGAACAAUAUCGUAUCGCGGUGUGCGACAUCUUCCAUUCACGACUAAUUAUCGACUCAUCGAAAUGAUUUUUUUCUCGGACUUUGUGUCGAACAAAUCACUAUGUGUUUGACAUCAGCGUUAAGCGGCUCACAUAAUAAGUUUACCCGCAACCAUUUGGUGCCCUUACUUAGCCUUAAGAAAAGCCGUUGACUUCACUUUAGAGCAAGCACUGUAUUUGCAAUUCGAACGACAAUCUCCCAAUUUCAGAACGAAGUAAUCGUGAAGAGACGCCCCGUCCAGACGCCUUCGAAUUCGAUGAGUCCAUUUUGAACCAUCCUGUAUAACCUAUGUAAUUACAUAGCCAUUUAGGUUGACCAGCAGAAUGUCCAUGAUAA